CAAGUACCGUGAGGGAAAGUUGCAAAGUACUUUGAAGAGAGAGUUCAAGAGGACGUGAAACCGGUAGGGUGGAAGCAGAUAAAGUUGACGAACGUGUGUCGUAUUCAGAACUACAAUUUGUGGUUUGUUUUUACGAUCGAUGUGGGCUGGCGUCUUUGGUUAACUUAGUGUCUGGCGGCAAUGGUGACCCUGCGGAGGGAUAAUCGGUUGUCGUGCGAUGCUUGGUAUGGCUAGAGGUUCGCUGGUCUUAUAGUCAUCGCUUUAUCUGACCCGUCUUGAAACACGGACCAAGGAGUGUAGCGCUUACGCGAGUCUUAGAGUGUGUCAAAACUUUGAGGCGUAACGAAAGUAAAUGUGGAUUUAUUCACUGACUUGGGAUGCGUUGUCUUUUUUGGAUAGCGUUGGACCAUGGUUUUAUCGUAAUCGCUUGCGAUGCGGUGAAAAUAGAGCGUAAGCGGGUGCGAACCCGAAAAGAUGGGUGAACUAUGCCCUGAGCCAGGAUGAAGCCGGAGGAAACUCUGGGUGGAAGUCCCGAAGCGGGUUCUGACGGCAAAUCGAUC
rnacentral:rRNA from 1 species